rnacentral:rRNA from 1 species
GACGUAGGGCGCGAGCGUUGUCCGGAUUUAUUGGGCGUAAAGAGCUCGUAGGCGGCUUGUCGCGUCGUCCGUGAAAAACCUGCAGCUCAACUGCAGGCUUGCGGUCGAUACGGGCAGGCUAGAGUUCGGUAGGGGGAGACUGGAAUUCCUGGUGUAGCGGUGAAAAUGCGCAGAUAUCAGGAGGAACACCGGUGGCGAAAGGCGGGGUCUCUGGGGCCCGAUACUGACGCUGAGGAGCGAAAAGCGUGGGGGAGCGAAACAGG